rnacentral:rRNA from 1 species
UACGGAGGGAGCUAGCGUUAUUCGGAAUUACUGGGCGUAAAGCGCACGUAGGCGGCUUUGUAAGUUAGAGGUGAAAGCCUGGAGCUCAACUCCAGAAUUGCCUUUAAGACUGCAUCGCUUGAAUCCAGGAGAGGUGAGUGGAAUUCCGAGUGUAGAGGUGAAAUUCGUAGAUAUCGGGAGGAACACCGGUGGCGAAGGCGGCGAUCUGGGUCGAUACUGACGCUGAGGUGCGAAAGCGUGGGGAGCAAACAGG